AACGAACGCUGGCGGCAUGCCUAACACAUGCAAGUCGAACGAAGUCUUCGGACUUAGUGGCGCACGGGUGCGUAACGCGUGGGAAUCUGCCCUUGUGUACGGAAUAACUCAGAGAAAUUUGUGCUAAUACCGUAUAAUGUCUUCGGACCAAAGAUUUAUCGCCCAAGGAUGGGCCCGCGUAAGAUUAGCUAGUUGGUGAGGUAAAAGCCUACCAAGGCGACGAUCUUUAGCUGGUCUGAGAGGGUGAUCAGCCACACUGGAACUGAGAAACGGCCCAGACUCCGAAGGGAGGCAGCAGUAGGGAAUCUUCCGCAAUGGGCGAAAGCCUGACGGAGCAACGCCGCGUGAGUGAUGAAGGUCUUCGGAUCGUAAAACUCUGUUAUUAGGGAAGAACAAAUGUGUAAGUAACUAUGCACGUCUUGACGGUACCUAAUCAGAAAGCCACGGCUAACUACGUG
rnacentral:rRNA from 1 species